rnacentral:tRNA from 1 species
AAAACUUUAAGUUAUUUAAACUAUAAACCUUCAAAGUUUAAAAUAUAGAUUUAAUUUAUAAGUUUUA